UGCAUGUUACGUGUUACGUGUUUAUCUGUUUAGAGCGACACUCCAUAUUUUAAUAACUCUGCUAAUGUGCUUUUUGUAAUUAUGUGGUAACGUGUGGACUGUUAAAAAUAUAUCAGAAAACUAGUAGACACUUGGUCAUUAAAUAUUGCAAAUGUAAAACAGAAAUCCUACUGAAUACGGAUUCUUGAGACAGACCAGUUUUUUACUGAACUGAUAUUGUGUUAAACAUCAAACCAUCCCUCUACAUUCUGCUUUUCCAUCACUUUUCUUCCACUGCAGAUAAUUUGUGUUGGUUUUUUUUAGUUCUAACCACAGAGAAACUGCACUGUUGCUCUAAAUGUUUUCUGCCUGGUUUGCUGUUUUCUUUACUUAAUCAGAAAUGACAAAUGUUCCAAAAAUAUAACUAUUGCAGCUGUUCCAUGAUAAAGCAAAGACAGAGAUCAGAAUGUUCACUUUAUCAGUGACCUCUGGUCUAUAAUUCAUAUUUUUAUAAUACAUACAUGAACAGUGGAGGCACUUAUGAUUAUUGAUGCAUGUUAAUAUUCCCAGACAAGGCAUAGCUUGGCUGUAGGCAGGCUCAGCCCUGUGGGGGGGAUUAAGCCCAGGGGAUGCCUGGCCCACCCAAUCACAAGCUUGCAGCACCGAGGCUGGGCAAAUGGCAACCAAUGACAGAAUGUUUUGGUUGUUGUAAAUAGGAAGGAAGCAAGCCAAUGUUUUUAUUCUGGACUUUUUGAAUUCUGCACAUCUCAGUGUCAGGGAAACACCAGCAGGGGUCAGUAGACUCAGCAUCCCUGUUGUGUAGCACCAAAGGUAGAUCUAUACUUUAUAAAAUCUCCCAGUAUUUCUGCAUCACACACAGCAUGCAAAUUCACACCAGUGAAGUCAUUUAGGGGUUUGUCCCCCAGCACCUGCCCCCAAAUAAAUGUAUGAAUUCCCCACCCAGCCUCUGAUUGGUCCAUGAUACCUGCAUUGGCACACUUUGAGGACGUGGUCAUUCCUUUAUACACAGAAUUUGAAUUAGAAUUUAGUUGUCAUUGUUGACACCCCACAGUGCACAACAGCACAAUGUGUUCUUUGCAUUUAACCCAUAUGUGGCAUCAUGACAUAGCAGGGGGCAGCUAAUUCAGCGCCCGGGGAGCAGUGUUUGGGGGUGGUACCUUGCUCAUGGUACCUCAGUGGUGCCUUGCUGGUCAGGGAUUCGAACCUGCAAUCUUUCAAUUACAAGCGUACUUUAGGGCUGAACGAUUUAUCAAAUUGAAAUCGCGAUUCGAAACAACGCGAUUAGCAAAUCGCAAAGACUGUGAUUUAGGACAUACAUUACACAGCAGGGUUUAAAACUUUUGUGAGAAUAGUUUUCCAAAUUUAUGCUGCAUUUUCUUUUUGCUGAGAUUGUUUCAGAAAGGUCCUAUCACCAGUAAAAUCAGCGACCUCCUUUUAACCACCAGCAGUGACAUACUUCAGUGUAUCACACCUUUUGUUUUUGUUAAUAAAAGGUGCAUUAGCAUACCGCUAACCCAUCAAAACAACAUUGAGACAGUCAGUAAUCCUCACAGCAGCGGAGUCUAUGACCCCCAGAAAAGCCGUAAAACCCAUAAUAGUCGUGUUUAUGUCCUAUGUGUUUGUGCUCAUUGAUUUAAGUAUUGAUUUCCGUAGAUUCAUCUUGUGAAAUUAAUCUUAAUCCCACAACAGUAAUAAAAUAAAAGCCUCGCUUUAACAUAAAUGAUAAAAGAACAUAUCGCUUUAAUCGCUAUUACAGUUGGGUAUGGGCACGUACGAUCUUAUUAUUUAAAAAAGACAAUAAAAGGUGACGCAUAUAAUGUUUUCUCAUUCGUUUUGUAUUUGUCAGAGCAACAAGGCAAAGGAAUGAUAAGCUCAUAGUUCAUAAUGGAAUAAUUUAGAUUUGCCAUAGGAUUUUUUGCAUGAGAGUCUGAAAGCGUGUUACCCAAACCCGUGGGAGUUUGCACCUCUGAACACAUUUUUAUGUUUUCCCUGAAUUGAUUUGUAUAAAAAAAAUAACCUUAUACAUUUGUUAAAAAGCGGAAACUUCGACCAACAUGAAAUUACCAAUAAAUUACGUCUAUUUAUUUGACAUCUUAUGAAAUUCAUACUACGUUAGAAAUUUUUCUAGCUUUAUGAUUUCAGAACAGCCACUCUUAGGAACUUUGUGGGUUUUGGUUGAGAGUAUUAGAUUCGCUGCGGAUAUUAUUUAUUUUCUAAGGAAGCUGUGAAUUCUAUUCAGUUUCAUCUCAGCUGCUUGAGUGCAGUUUCUCCCUCUGUCCGUGUAGCACAUCGCAGUGACGGAUGACACCAGUGAGUUUAUUGCUUCCCAGAAUUCAGCUGCUCUUUACAGCCCCAUCCUCCAUCCAACCAGUUAGCACAGGAGGGCUUCUGCAGGGAUUUAUCCAGCUCUGCAUGUACCUGCAUGCUGUCAGGCAGCCUGGGUCCACAGGAGUUCUCAACCAGUCGUGUAGAUGCACUUCUGGCCUGUGAGACGCCUGAUUGUUCUGCAGACAUCAGCCCCGGAGCAGCUGGUCACGCCUGUCUGUCAGCUGUAGCUCCACACUCUGUUUUGCUGACGGAGGGGAGGGAUUCUGGCCAGAGGGGGACACAGUGUCCAGUGUGUCAGCUGCACUGAGCAGCCAAUCCCCAUUCAGCCUCGCUAGUCACAUGACCAUCACACAGAUAUGCAGGUGAAUAGUUAUUAGCCGACCUUUUGAUUAGUAAUAGUCAGUCUGGCGCAGUGAGGGUGUGAGCAAGGAAUGUCUUUUGGUCCCUGCAGGGAGAAGAUCAGGCUGUGAGGAAGUGCAGCUUCAGCCCACAGGAUGAUAGUUACUGUGAGGUUAGACAGCAUCACUGACUGUGAAAUCAGUCUCUCUUCUGAAUCUGAUCCUAGGUCAGUUCUCUUCUUCCUCUGUGAAUCACAGCUGUUAGACAGCAUGACUGUCACACGCUCACACACAGACAUACUGACACACAGAUUCACACAUACAGUGUGUACCAGGAAUCGCGUGUCUCAUAGACACAGAGGGGUUUUACUGCUGAUAAACUCAGCAGGCCUGUGGGUUAUAAUCACAUCGGCAGGCCUGUGUGUUCAAGGGGGGAUCUCAGGAGGGGGGGGUGCGGACAGGAAUAAAGUAGGCAGGUCGGGAUCAGUGCCAAACAGGAGAGAAGAGCGAGCCUCUCUGUUAGUCGCAUUAACAUCAGCCAUUCCUCGUGGGGCCCUUUGAAUUCGCUGUGGAAGUUCAGCGAAAGACACAGAGGAUGCAGAGGAAAUUUUAAAAAAGCUACGGAGGAAGAGGGAGGCUUUGAGACAAUAAAGGCUUAGAGAAAAAACUUGUAAGCUGUGUCUCCCAGCAAUCACUAUGGGGAAUGUAAGAUCUCUGGGCAAUAAGAUGGACGAACUGACGGCGUUAACACAGAGCCAGAGGGAGUAUCGGGGAUGCAGUUUAAUGUGCUUCACUGAGACAUGGCUGCACCAGGAUGUCCCCCAUGUCAAGACUGCGAUCAUGGGCUUCCACACGGUCUGUGCCGACAGAGACUGUGCCGCAAGCGGUAAGAGUAAAGGGGGAGGGCGUGCUGUGCUGGUGAGUGAACGGUGGUGUAAUCCUGCUCACAUCACUGUUAAAGAGGCGUCUGCUGCUCGGAUGUUGAACUGUGUGCCGUCGGACUUCGCCCAUAUUAUCUGCCCAGGGAAUUUUCCCAUGUAAUCAUGGUGGCUGUUUAUGUUCCCCCCUCUGCAAACCCGAACACAGCGUGUGACGUCAUUCACUCUGAAAUAACCCGGUUACAGACUCAGCAUCUGAAUGCAUUCACUGCCAUCUCAGCUGAUCUCGACCACGUGAAUAUGAACAGGACUCUCUCCACUUUCACCCACUUUGUAAAUUGUCCUACCAGUGAAGGAAGGACAUUAGACCUGCUGUAUGCUAAUGUUAAGGACACUUACAGCUCUUCCCUCCUCCCCCCGCUGGGAAAAUCUGAUCACACCUUGAUUCGCCUCUCAUCCUGCUAUGUGCCUGUUGUGAACAGUUUGCCAGCAACUCCAAAAACAGUGAGGAGAUGGAUGGAUGAGGCCAAUAUGACACUACAGGGCUGCAUCAAGGAGACAGACUGCCAGGCACUUUGUGAGCCACACAAUGACGACAGUGACGGUCUUACAGACUGCAUCACUGGAUACAUUAACUUCUGUGUGGACACCAUUGUCCCAGCAAGGACUGUCUGUUAUUACCCAAACAACAAGCCAUGGAUAACAAAGGACAUAAAAACCCUCCUGAAUGACAAAAAGAGGCUUUCAAAGUUAUAAACGGGGAAGAGGUGCGAGAAAUACAGCGGAAGCUUAAAUCAUAGAUCAGGGAGGAAUUACAGCAGAAAGUUGGAGAGGAAACUUCAACACAGUAACAUCAGAGAGGUGUGCAGUGGCAUGAGGACCAUCACAGGUUACAAACCUAACACCUGUUAUGGAGUUGAGGGCAAUGAGGAAUGGGCUAAUGAGCUGAAUCUGUUUGACAGAUUUGACAUAGCAACACCAGCUCACUCCCCAACGGUCACCCCAAUAACAUCACUGCAGUCUGCACCCCCUACAUUCGCCCCCCUCCCCCUUUCUGCCUCUCACCCCCCCUCAUCUCCACUUGAAUGCCUUGCUAACACCUUCGCCCCAGACACCCUGUCUGACUGCACUCUCCGGGGUAACACCCUCACACCUCCCCUACAUGACACCUCCCCUACGAACAUCACCGCUGCACAGGAUGAAGGGCAGUUGAAGAGACUUCAUGCAGGCAAGUCUGCAGGCCCUGAUGGUGUGAGCCCCAGGAUCCUGAAGACUUGUGCCUUCCAGCUUAGUGGAGUACUCCAAUAUAUCUUCAAUAUGAGUCUCAGCCUUCGGAGAGUCCCCGUGCUGUGGAAAACGUCAUGCCUAGUCCCUGUACCGAAGACACCACGUCCCAGUGACCCUAAGGAUUACAGACCCAUGGCACUAACGUCACACAUUGUGAAAACCCUGGAGAGACUCAUCCUGGAGCAGCUCUGGCCGAUGGUCCAACCACUUAUGGAUCCGCUUCAGUUCGCCUACCAGCCCCACCUAGGAGUGGAUUACGCCGUCAUUUACCUUCUCAACCGAGUCUAAACCCACCUUGACAAGCCAGCGAGCGACCGCUGUGAGGAUCAUGUUUUUUUAUUCCUGCAGUGCAUUUGACACCAUCCGUCCGGCUCUGCUGGGGGAUAAACUAACAAGGAUGCAGGUGGAUGCCCCACUGGUAUCCUGGAUUGUGGAUUAUCUGACUGGCAGACCACAGUAUGUGCGCUUAAAGUGCUGUGUGUCGGACAGAGUGAUCAGCAACACCGGGGCACCGUAAGGAACUGUGCUCUCCUUUCCUUUUCACUCCCUACACCACGGACUCCAGCUGCUGCACAGAGACCUGCCACCUUCAGAAGUUUUCUGAUGACUCUGCAGGAGUUGGAUGCAUCACUGGUGACGAGAACGAAUACAGAACUGUGGUGGACACAUGUCACUUGGAGCAAGGAAAACCACCUUCAGCUCAAUGUAUCAAAAACAAUGGAGUUGGUGGUGGACCUGAGAAGGACCAAACUGUUAGUGACGCCGGUUUACAUGCAGGGCGUCAGUGUGGAAAAGGUGGAGGAGGACAAACACCUGGGUGGUCAGUCUGUGGUGGUUAGUGCCAUCAUGUAUGCUGUUGUCUGCUGGGGCAGCAGCCUGAGGGUCAUGGACAUUAACAGACUCAACAAGAUGAUCAAGAAGGCCAGUGAAGUUGUGGGAGUAGAACUGGACUUUCCUGCACACCCGCUCCACUGUAUGCAGAGCAGCCACAGGAGCUCGUUCAGCAACAGGCUAAAACUUCCACGCUGCACAACUGAGAGACACAGGAAAUCAUUCCUGCCGAUCGCAAUAAAACUAUUUAACUCACAAUCUGAUCACUCAAACCACAAAUCACAAACAUAAGCACAAUCACCUUAAAUAACCAUGUGUACGGUGCGUACGUUUGCUGUAAUAACCCAGGUACUAUGCAAAUUGUGUUUAAUAUAUACCACGUGUUAAUUAUAAUUGCUGCUAUUGGUUUAAUUUUUAUUGGUUUUUAUUAUCUAUCCAUCCAUUUUCCAAACCGCUUAUCCUACUGGGUCGCGGGGGGUCCAGAGCCUAUCCCGGAAGCAAUGGGCACGAGGCAGGGAACAACCCAGGAUGGGGGGCCAGCCCAUUGCAGGGCACACUCACACACCAUUCACUCACACAUGCACAUGCAAUUUAGCAAGUGCAAUUAGCCUCAGCAUGUUUUUGGACUGUGGGGGGAAACCAGAGUACCCGGAGGAAACCCCACGAUGACAUGGGGAGAACAUGCAAACUCCGCACACAUGUGACCCAGGCGGAGACUCGAACCCGAGUCCCAGAGGUGUGAAACAACAGUGCUAACCACUGCACCACCAUGCCGCCCCCGGUUUUUAUAAUUUUUAUUAUUAUUUUAUUUUAAUUACUUUAUUGUUGUAUAGUUCUAUUUAAAUCUCUUCUAUCAUCUGCACUUAACUUUCCUAAAUCUUUUAUUUUCAUCAGGAGUUUGUUUUUGUAAUGUAAGAGAAUUUCCCCACGGGGAUUAAUACAGUGAUUCUGAUUGUGAUUCUGAAGGAGCUGGACGCGGGUGACGCUGAUCCCCGCUGAUCCCCGUUGAUCCGCCUGUCGGCUCCUGGAAUGGAGUGACAGUCAGGAAAGCUGCUCUGGAUGUAAAAUCCUGGGUCACAGAAGCAAAGUUACACAUUCAUGUAAAAUGUGCUGAACUGCUGAUAGUCACUGGUGGGGGGGGGGGUGGUGAAGCCCCCCCUUCACUGCAUUAAUUGGGGGAUGUUUUGGCUUCAUAAACAGAAGUGGGCAGCCUGGCAUAGAGCUGGGGGCCCGGGGCCCCAUUCCCUGUGUGGCCCUGAUUUGGGGUCUGGGUAAAGCUGGCAGGUUCCAGUGCAGACGCACACUGGUGCAGGUGGAUGUACACAGUGUUCCUCUGGCUGGGGCCCAGUAGAACUCCCAGUUAAGAUGACUGCUGCCCCCAGUUCCUCUCCCACAGAGGUGGUGUGGUCACAGACGGGGCCGUCCGCCUCCAGCUGCAGUGAGACGCGCACGUGGGUCUCGGGGUCCAAAGCCCAGGCUGCCAAGCAGCUCUGCCGUUAUAAACCACAGUGACGGUGGUUCGGUUUCACCAUAGAGCUGCAGUUUGGUUCAUGACGGACUCAGAGUUAUAGUGACAUCCAUUCAGGGGGAGUCACUGGAGCAGGGGACUCAGACGCUGUCAUUACUGCCCCCAGACGGGAUCGCCCCUGUCACCCUGCUGCCCCAGCCCUGGAAGCUCCUCCCCUUGCUCCUCCCCAUCCCUCCCCCCCUGCAUUUCCCUGGCAACACGUUAUCCUCCUCACAUACUCCUGCCUAUCAAAGCUCCUGAAAUCAUCCACUGCACGUGGCAGGAGCUGCCCCCCACUGGGGCACGGCCAUGUGACCCCCCCCCCCCUUCCCCGGCCUGCUAAGUGACGCCCUCUGCACGCUUCAUGUUAGUCGCCUUCCUUAUGCCCCCCAUCAGCGCCUCCUAUCAGCUCAGGAAACCGCGUCUCUCGCGGUGGAAACGCUCCGUGGGCUGCGACAGUGACUCUGUAUUCACAGGUCCUGAUGGCGGCUCGGGUGGUCGGCCAGACUGCCUGCUUGUCUGACGGCCUGAUUGUUUUUUCCCCUUUAAUGACCCUGCAGCCUAUUAAGCAGUGAUUUAUACACACAUUCAUUAAAACCCUUUUAGCAGUGAGCCAACACUCUCUGAGGUCAGACCCCAUCAGCCUGUUCAGCGUGACGUUAGAGGAGCUGCACACAGCAAAUGGCUCCAUGUUAUAAGAGCCGCUGCCGUUUCCCCCGCCGUCUCACGCUGCCUGGACUCUGCGGCUCCCGAAAGGCCGGAUCUUUCAGUCUGUGGGAUGCGAGCAGGUAACAGCAGGGGCUUCAGCCGUGAGCCUCACACUGCCGCUGGAGCUGGGAUCAGACCCCAAAGCCACCUGCUGUCUCCUGUUACGGUGAUUUUACAAGGGCGUCUCGGGCUUAACGAAGGGCGUAACAUUAGGAUGGAGAAAGAGAAACGCAACCAAUCCGGCUGCUUGAGGUUAAUAAAACUGCAGUUUUUUUAAAAAGAAACGAAACGGCACAAAACAAGCAGUACAUCUUCGGGGGGGGGGG